AGAUGCACACUUCCCCUAGAGAAGCCUCCGAGCGCGGCCGCGACUCCGGGCCUCAAGCCCAUAAAGAAAAAAUACCGGAGACGUUCUGGCACCAUUUCGGGGUAAAGAAGCUGCCAUGGAAGAGCCUGCAGCUCCCUCAGAAGCCCAGGAGGCAGCCGGGGCCCAGGCAGGUGCUGAGGCAGCAGGGGAGGGUGUGUCUGGGCCGGACCUUCCCGUCUGUGAGCCCUCCAGGGAAUCUGCUGCUCCAGAUUCGGCCCUGCCACAUGCGCCUGUGGGCUGGGCCCCCUUCCCUGUAGCUCCAGUCCCUGCCCACCUCCGCACAGGAGGCCUGAGGCCUGCCCCAGCCUCAGGAGGAGGAGCAUGGCGCAAUCCGUUUCCAAGCCGAAGCAGCGGCAUUUGGACAAAGCAGAUCAUCUGCAGGUAUUAUAUACAUGGGCAGUGCAAGGAGGGGGAGAACUGUCGCUAUUCCCACGACCUUUCUGGUCGGAAGAUGGCCACUGAGGGCAGCGUUUCGCCGCCUGGGGCCUCUGCAGGUGGAGGCCCUAGCACGGCUGCGCACAUCGAGCCCCCGACUCAGGAAGUGGCGGAAGCCCCCCCGGCUGCAUCCUCCCUUUCCUUGCCUGUGAUUGGCUCGGCUGCUGAAAGGGGUUUCUUUGAAGCAGAGAGAGACAAUGCAGACCGUGGAGCUGCUGGAGGAGCAGGUGUAGAAAGCUGGGCGGAUGCCAUUGAGUUUGUUCCAGGGCAGCCCUACCGGGGCCGCUGGGUUGCAUCUGCCCCCGAGGCUCCUCCACAGAGCUCAGAGACUGAGAGGAAGCAGAUGGCUGUGGGCAGGGGGUUGCGGUUUUGCUAUUAUGCUUCCAGGGGAGUUUGCUUUCGUGGGGAGAGCUGUAUGUUCCUCCAUGGAGACAUAUGCGACAUGUGUGGGCUGCAGGCCUUGCACCCCAUGGAUGCUGCCCAGAGGGAAGACCAUAUAAGGGCCUGCAUUGAAGCACACGAGAAAGAUAUGGAACUCUCGUUUGCUGUGCAGCGUGGUAUGGACAAGGUGUGUGGCAUCUGCAUGGAGGUUGUCUAUGAGAAAGCCAACCCCAAUGACCGCCGCUUUGGCAUUCUUUCCAAUUGCAACCAUACCUUCUGUAUUAGGUGUAUCCGCAGGUGGAGAAGUGCCAGACAGUUUGAUAACAGGAUCAUCAAGUCUUGCCCGCAGUGCAGGGUCACCUCCGACUUGGUCGUUCCCAGUGAGUUCUGGGUGGAGGAGGAGGAAGAGAAGCAGAAACUUAUUCAGCAAUACAAGGAGGCAAUGAGCAACAAGGCCUGCAGUUCCUGGGUCCCUGACCUCGACAAACCACAGCAGGACUUGGUGGAGAAGACCGAGUGUAAUUCUGAAAUCCUGAACUUUGAGCUGGAUUCAAUACAUAGGUGAACGGCAUGGAUUCUGAGAACCAGGAGGAGAGCCAAGUCGUAAAAGGAUUGGUGCCCAAGCAGUCGGACACUCAGCUGGACUGGCAAAGCAAAAUAUCUGUAUGGAAAUGUACGUUUUAUUCAUCCGUCGUUUGAGUCAGGGUGUGCGGGCAAAAUUCCGCAGCUAAUGCCCUCUGCUAAGACGCCACAGCUCCACCGGGGCCCCGUGUAAGGCGCAGAACCACAAAGAUACAGUACGAUGGUUACGUUAACAAAACAUAUGGGUCAUGAAUUCUGUUAUGUUCAGGACAGUUACAGACAGUCUGCAGGGAGGCCUAGUUUUAGCUUUUGUAGACUUAGUAUCAAUGUAGUGAAGCCUAUAAAAGUUGUUCACAGUAGUAAAUACAAAAAGCUGUUGAUUGAUGUAGUGGCCACUAGAUGGCCCGAUAAACUCUACUUCACAGACCUUGGAGCUAGAGACAAGUGACUGCAGUUUGUUGCUGAAGACUAUAUAGUACAAAAAGUCUUUGUUGUUGUUAUUGUGAAUGGAAAAUAAUUAUCGACAUUAUACAAAUUAAACAGGUUCAUAUCGAAGAGGCUCUGCUAUAGAGUCCUACAAAAUGGAAUUAAAUAAAAUUUCUCUGAUCUAGAAAAACACUCAUUUUAGAAUGAAAAAUAGUGAUAUGCAUGUGUGCAAAAUGUGUAAUCUUACUCUCGGGCUUCAGUUUCGUGAUUUUAGAUCACUUCCCUCUUUUUUGUGAGAAAAGACAGCUCCUAGACACUCAUAUUUCAAACUGUGUAAAUACUGAAUAAUAAAAUGAAGAAAAAAGUCUAAAACAAGGACUUGCUGUACACUAUUCACAGGUUCUUGAACAUGUUUUAUAAGGUAUUCUUUUGCUUACUUAUGAACUUGGUUAUUUGUUUUUAUUUGUUGAAUUGUAAGAGUUCUUUGUGUAUUUGGAUGCAAGUCCUUUAUCAGAUAUGUGAUGUGCAAAUAUAUACUCCAAGGCUGAAGCUUGUCUCUUCAUUCCCUCAAGAGUUAAUUUCACAGAUGGAAAAAAUAAUUUUAAUAAAGUCCAAUU